rnacentral:rRNA from 1 species
CAGCAGCCACGGGAAUACGUAGGUGGCAAGCGUUGUCCGGAAUUAUUGGGCGUAAAGGGCUCGCAGGCGGUUUCUUAAGUCUGAUGUGAAAGCCCCCGGCUCAACCGGGGAGGGUCAUUGGAAACUGGGAAACUUGAGUGCAGAAGAGGAGAGUGGAAUUCCACGUGUAGCGGUGAAAUGCGUAGAGAUGUGGAGGAACACCAGUGGCGAAGGCGACUCUCUGGUCUGUAACUGACGCUGAGGAGCGAAAGCGUGGGGAGCGAACAGGAUUAGAUACCCCGGUAGUCCCUGUCUCUUAUAC